GACAGAGGAUGCAAACGUUGCUCGGAGUUACUGGGCGUAAAGCGCGCGCAGGUGGCCUGAUAAGUCAGGUGUGAAAUCCCGGGGCUCAACCUCGGAAGUGCACAUGAUACUGUCGGGCUUGAGUACUGGAGAGGAGAGCGGAAUUCCCGGUGUAGAGGUGAAAUUCGUAGAUAUCGGGAGGAACACCAGUGGCGAAGGCGGCUCUCUGGACAGAUACUGACACUGAGGCGCGAAAGCGUGGGAAGCAAACAGG
rnacentral:rRNA from 1 species